GUCCCAGAUUCUGGUUGGCAGGAGCUCGACGAGCAGGCUACAGAAAGACGCUCCUGACGUCAGCCACGUUCAAAUUCAGUACAUACAAGAUCCAAGAUGGCGGAGGUGAGCGGGCUGAGGAAUCGGAACCCCUUUGAAUCAAACUGUCAACCCCGACCAUUUGACAAAGGUGUUACUGAGGUAGGGGAUGUCCCGACUUCCCAUCAUAAACCCAGGCCACCCAUGGCCCUACCUGAAGACCUGGAGGUGGAGGAGGGUGGAUUGACGCUGCAGUCCCAAAAACUGACCUUGAAAUCGGGUACAGAUGGAGCCACAACCCCCUCCCCUGAUGAAGGUUUUCAGGAAGAGGAGAAGAAGGUUGCAGCGAAGGAAGCGGCCAGGCCCAUCCAGAUCGUCCUGGCCAAUGAAGAGGAGCACAGCUUUGAGCUGGACGAGGCGGCUCUGGAGAACAUCCUGCUGCAGGACCACGUGAAGGACCUCAACGUGGUGGUGGUGUCGGUGGCCGGGGCCUUCCGCAAGGGCAAGUCCUUCCUGUUGGACUUCAUGCUGCGCUACAUGCAUAACCCGGGCGAGUCUUGGAUGGGGGGUGAGGAUGAGCCUCUGUCAGGCUUCUCCUGGAGGGGAGGCUGUGAGAGAGAGACUACAGGCAUCCAGGCCUGGAGCGAGGUGUUCGUGGUUGAGCGGUCAGACGGCAGUAAGGUUGCAGUACUGCUCGUAGACACACAGGGGGCGUUUGACAGCCAAUCCACCAUCAAAGACUGCGCAACUGUGUUUGCCCUGAGCACCAUGACCAGUUCUGUACAGGUGUAUAAUCUCACCCAGAACGUCCAAGAAGAUGACCUACAGCACCUGCAGCUGUUUACAGAGUACGGGCGCCUGGCCAUGGAGGAAAUCUACCUGAAGCCUUUCCAGUCCCUGAUGUUCCUGAUCCGGGACUGGUGCUAUCCCUAUGAACACGGCUAUGGCCUAGAGGGAGGCAAUGCCUUCCUGAAGAAACGGCUGCAGGUGAAGCAGAACCAGCACGAAGAGCUGCAGAACGUGAGGAAGCACAUCCACUCUUGUUUCUCCAACAUCGGCUGCUUCCUCCAGCCCCACCCUGGCCUCAAGGUGGCCACCAACCCAUACUUUGACGGUAGACUCAGGGACAUCGAUGACGACUUUAAGACUCACCUGGCGGAGCUGGUGCCUCUCCUCCUGGCCCCCGACCGACUGGUGGAGAAGGAGAUCGGCGGGAACAAGGUCACCUGCAGGGACCUGGUGGAGUAUUUCAAGAGCUACAUCAAGAUCUACCAAGGAGAGGAGCUGCCUCAUCCUAAAUCCAUGCUACAGGCAACGGCAGAAGCCAACAAUCUGACUGCGGUGGCCGGAGCCAAGGACCUGUACGGGAAGAGCAUGGAGGCGGUGUGCGGCGGGGACAAGCCCUACAUCGCGCCGGCCGACCUGGAGCGCUGCCACGAGGAGUUCCGCGAGUGCUCGGUGCGCCACUUCCGCUCGGUCAAGAAGAUGGGCGGCGACGAGUUCUGCCAGCGCUACCAGAGCCAGCUGGAGGGGGAACUAGAUGAGGUCUACGCCAACUUCACCAAGCACAACGACGGCAAGAACAUCUUCUACGCCGCGCGCACGCCGGCCACCCUGUUCGCCGUCAUGUUCGCCGCCUACGUGGUGUCAGGCGUCACGGGCUUCGUGGGACUAGGCACCCUGGCGGCGCUGGCCAACCUGCUGAUGGGCGUGGCGCUACUGUCCCUCUGCGCCUGGGCCUACGUCAAGUACUCCGGGGAGUUCCGCGAGAUUGGCGCGGUCAUCGACCUGGUGGCGGAGAACCUCUGGGAACAGGUGUUUUCAAGGCUCAGGCAGCCGAUCGAGGGAGGCCUGGCUCAGCCCGCCUCUCUCCUCUGCUCCCUCUCGCCGGGCGGAGCAAUGGGCUCUCUCGCAGCGCUACUCAACAACCGCUCCAAAAAACACUAGCUGCCUCGUUCUGGUGUUUUUUGUUCCUGGUCACAGAGACUGCUUCCCAAGCUUUCUGUGGUGUGCUGACUUCCUCUGUGUCCACAUUACACUUCUCUGCUUUGCCUCGGCUGCUUUGUGCUCGCCUUGCGGUGUUGAGGCGCCAGGGGGGCGUUCUGUCUGCAGGCAUUUACCUCUGAACCCCUGAAUACGGACCAAAACAGGCUCUCCUCAGGACCUCCCGGACAUGCACCUUGCCUCACGGUUUUUAAACCCCUAUUUUGUGAUGGAUGUGAUUUGGUGUUGAAGCCACUUAGCGAACAUUAUAUGGAGGACAACGUCAGGCAGACGGUGGUGAACUCUCUGAAAGCCAGCUUGACGGAGCCGGCGUCUCAGCACGGCAAGCUAAAGGCUCACUGACCCGGCCGGCUCUGACCCUUUUCCCCUCACCCCGCUCCCCUGUCCACCACCACCCUCACCUUGUAGAUAUGACACAUCCUAGGACUGUUGAACUGUUCACAACCAAAGUAUGAUCCGCCUUCCCCCGUCAUGCUUUGCUGCAUGCCAGUCCCUCCCGUUUGAAGUGUCCCAAUACUGUAAGCAAAAGGACCCUUUGAAAAGGGCUUCCCUGCUGGCUGCGCUCUGCUGCCCCCGGUGGUUGGUGGGGUGAAAUUGGCAUGCCGAUCGCAGCCUCGGAGCAGAGCCGAGAAUGGGUCGCCUCGAACCAAAAUAGGAGUAUAAAAAAUGUCUUGGUCUUCUCCGAUGUGCCAUGCUAACAGCGGCUCCAGCUCCACAGGUUAACACUGGAAAACCCGCCGUUUGCAGACGCGCGCUACGUAGCAACUGUACACUGUGUGUGCCCCGUUUCUGACAUCCAGCUCGCUAGCCCGCAGCGUAAGGACUCAGCGGUAAUUCAGGGAUAGCUGUGUAAUGUCCGAUGCAGACUUGAGACUGUUCAUAUUUUUACGCUGAUGAUAGCAGUCUCGGCAAUCGUCUUCCGUCAGUUAACACAAACAAUAUUCAGAGCUGGACAUUUACUUUGAUUUGACCCUGUUCGGUAUGGUUAUUUGAUCUAAUAUUUAGAUUAUAUCAUGGUAUAAUUCUUUCCCUACAGUUAAUUGUAGCUACAACCCUAAGCCUCUUUACAGAAGUUGGAUCUAAUUUUAAUUUUAUUGUCUGAUUAAACAAUCAAGCCCUAUCUGAACUGAAAGGCUGUGUGGAAAUAUAUUUUACUUUUCUCAGAACUAUUACAGGGAAAAGGCAAUCAUGUUUUUUCACAAUUUAGCUUUUAAACACUAUGGCAACACAUGAUGGUUAAUUAUAUAUUUGGGCUAGGCUCGGCUUCCCUCUGCAACUGUACCCAGUAUCAGUCCAUCCCCAUGGAUGAUUAGUUUUGUCUUUAGUGGUGGUAGACCGGAACGGGGCCUGUACCAAGCAGUCAGGCUCUUCCGAGCGGCUUAUAGCAGGAGACAUGAUUUUAUUUGAGCUUGGUAUUUAGUGUGCUUCCUGCCAUUGUUUGGACUCUGCAUGGUGUUAAGAGCUAGGGAUGUACCCACUGUAGUAGCCAGAAAGAAAAUGGCAUCACACAUCCCUUUAUCAAUGUCUCGCCGUCUUUCACCGAAGCCUCAACAUCCCACGCCGUGGCAAGGUUUCCUGUAGACCCCUGGCCUCACCGGGACUUUGCUGCUUCUCACCAUUCUCUCUUGAGAGUAUCUGCCUUCAGCCUGUAGGUUGCUGUCAUUUCUUCUGUUGUUUCAACAUUGUCUUGACUUCAUCUGAGCAUUUUCCUGAAAUCCUAGAUAUGGAUGAGCUCCGAACGGCUGGAAAAUCAAGAGCUCUGGGUUUCAUUUCAUCAUUUGUUUUUCAAGAUUUCUCUUCAAAGUGUAGGUCUUGCUCGACACUGUCUUAUCCCUUGUGUUGUGAUGCUGAUGUCCCGUUGAUGAUGUCGGCUGUAAUCAGGAGGGAUGGACAAACUGACUCACCUGGGGUCAGCUCCAUCACAGCCUCAUGUGUUCCAUUCAAAGAUUCCAUCCACAACCGGUCUUGUAGGUUUUAUGUGCACUUAGUACAAGUAGGGCGUGUAUGUGAGAUCAAAUAUUUAAAUAAAAUGUAUACAUUUUAAAGAUAAUUUCAUUUGUUAUUUGAAUUUUAUCAGCUAAAACUGGUCCAUUUUGAUUUUCUCAAUUUUCAGCUGUUUGGAACAUGGCCAGAGAAUAGUUUUAAUAUUUGUUGGAAGCGCCUUUUUGUUUAAUGUAAUGAUCGGUUAUCUUCAUAACUGCCUUCAAAUACAUUUCAUGUAAUUUAUUUUUCAAUAAAAUCGGUGUUUACCUUAAUUAUAGAUAGAAUUUUGUCGGCCUUGUCUUUAUCAGCUGCAGGUUGUAAAAUAGAUUUUAAGAUGCUCAAUUCACCAUGGACCAUUGUUGCUUAUCCCAUAUUAUUGUAGGAGUGUUUUGGGAAAUUCUUGCAUGGAAUUGUACGUAUUUGUUGUAUAAUGAGCCAGAAAAAGUAAAAUAUGUUGUGCCCUACAACAUGGUAGGCCCAUAGUAUUUAGCAAGAGUGAUGGUGUAAUUUAAAUGAAAGUGGAUGAGAUUCUUAGCUCAGAAGUGCUCAGACACAGGAGCAUGUUUCCGCAUUCACUAGGCUGGACAACGUUGUCCGGAUGGGGCUUGCAAAGAAGCCCUCAUAUAUUGCGUACGGUUGAAAUCCUUGGCUGAUCUCAUGUUGAGAGCAGUAAGAGCACGUUAUAACUGCAACUUUAAAGCAUUAAUGAAGUGGCAAAUAGUGUAUGGAGCAUUGCUCUGACAUUAGUACCUGUAAUCCAUAGUAAUAAGUUAGAAAAUAAAUUAGUAAGAUGUGUUAAUGGUUUGAGGUAAUGUAUGCAAAACCAACAACUUAAAUUUAUUUUUAAAGUUUGGAAAUCAAUGUAUUUCCAUGAUUUCAGUUAAGGUGAAGUCUAUGCCUUGCUAAGAUUGUACUCAUUACACUUAAAGGCUGGAAAUGCCUCAAGUACCAUUGCAGCACUACCAAUGCUCACAUAAAUCUCAUGUUCUCCCACAAAAGUCUUAAUGCUUUCUAAGGACGUGAAUUGUCCAGUCAUUUAUAAAUGCUGAGUGACCUGACUUGUCAUUAGUGUGAAGUUGAGGUUUUGGGACUUGGAACCUAUAAGUUUAAUAUUUUUUUGCUAGUUUUCUACUGAUGAGUACUUAUUGAUAAAUACCAGUUUAUAUUAGCACAUACAUAGCACACAGUUUGUAUGAGAAAUAAGUAUAUCAGGAACCUUGUAUAAUGCAGUCUAUAUCAACCAACAUCUUGCAUUAUGUGGAUAUGAUUUAUUAAUUAGGCUAGUGUAAUUAAGCGUUAUACCUGAUUGUUUCAAUUGUCUCACAGUUUGUACUUGUAUUCAUACGAGUCAUGUAAAUCAUUGCAUUUGUUUGAAGUAUUAAAGGAGUAAGCCGCACAUGA